GCCCGGCUUCUGAUGACAGAUGGCAGCUUUUCCUUGCCUUUCCUGCUUUUGAACGUGGACAUUAAUCUGUGGACUAAACAUUAUGGAAAGUGCACUGACUGCCUCCACAGCACACGUGUGACCUUCCCCUGUGGUCCUCAGGCAUGCUGGACCUCGGAAAGAACGUUAAUAUUCAUCAACAGAGUAAGCUGGUACAAAUUGAUCUGACUUGAUUUGUCAGAGAGCCAGAACUGCAGGCAAAUAGACGCCGGAGAAAUCAACCAAUCUUUUAAGCCAACAGUAAUUGUUCCUCCUGUCGGCUGGCUAAAUGACUUGUAUCUGGAGGAGAUGCUCAGAAUGAAUCAGAAUGCCUGAGGUGACAGAAACGCAGAGCAUCCCACAGUGGGGUCUCUCAGAGUGAAUGAAAAUGGCCACUCCAGCCCCGAUUCAACAAUAGUCUUCAGUUCACAUAUCAACAAUUGUGAAGAAGAUUUCAGCAGUUGUCAUUGGUUGAUCUGCUUGGUCCUUACUCCAGUUGCAACUUGUGGCCUCCUUUAUUUGAUUACCUCCCCUAAAGAUAAACGGACAUUAAUGUUUCUCCCUUAGGAUAAUAUUAUUUGACUCUUAAAACAAUAUGUAAAGCUAGCCUUUAGUUUGUUACAUAUCAUUGUCCCAUCAACCCUUUAUGGGGAUGUACUAAGGGAGGUGAAUUGAUCUUCCAAGCUAUGUGAUGUGCCUGAGACCAGAAUACCCAGCUAGGUUGGAAUGGUGGGACUGGGGUGAAGGAAGAAUGUAAGAGACGUCAAGUUCGUCUACUCCUAAAGUAGUUGCAGUUCUUAAAAGAAGAGAGAUUUUCUUACCACUGUGAUCUCUAAGGAGGGCAAGA
rnacentral:lncRNA from 1 species